CCGCACGCACGCGCCAAUGAGGUGGUUAUGUCGCAGACAAACAAGAUGAAUGAAACCUGCUUGGCCUCAUCUGUCAAGGUAACCAUUGACGGCAACACCGCAACUACGUCAAUCGCCAACACCACCUCUGUGUUCCACUUCCUGCCGAGCUGCGACUGUCGUCGGUCAUGAGCAUCAACGCCACCGUCAGAGACCUCGACAAGUUCGCUACCAUGUUGAAACUCAACGUGGAUGUUUCGGGGGAAGAGGUCAACGUCCGUGCUCUUUAUCUGUUAGGCAGAGAGGCGACCCUGAAGGACUCGGACCUGGAACGUUUCAAGCAGCAGGCAAGCUGCCUCGGCUUCUCCGGAGAGCCAGACUUCCUCUAUGACCCCAAAAAAGGUUUCUGUGCUGAAGGUGAAGGCAUAAAGUUGGAACUUUGAAGUUAACAACAACUUUGGUGAAUAUUUCAAACUGUAACUGAGAAAGUUAUAGAGACAAAAGGUGACUCAUCAAAAGUGGGGUCCGUAUUUUGUAUUCACGAUCUAAUAAAAUGGUGUAGCACCAAGGUUUUCAAGCUG